AGAACUGACACAGUAACAAAUGUCCUGUAGCCAGCGUGGAGUCAGCGUGGAGCCGGCAUGGAGGCAGCCCCCGCCCCACAGCGGGGGGUAGAGAGAGAGAGUAUAAAUGAGGGGGAUCCAGGAGAUGCCGGCGGGGAAGAUGCUGCCCUGAUAAGCCACACCUGACCCCACGGCUGUGCACCCUUGGGCGCCGCACAUACCCCCUCCGGGCCCAUUUCCUUGGCAGGGUGGCUGUUGGGGAUGGAAUAUAGGGACGUUCCCCCCACCCCCCACCGCGCCCCCUCGUCCCCUCCCCCCCUCCCCCCGCCUCCGUUUCCAGACCAGGGUAGGACCCUAACUCCAGAAACCCUGGUAGAUGUCAACAGCAACAGGGUAAGGAGCUGCUAACCUGGAACUUGACUGCAUUCCGGCGCUGGGGAGUGGCGAAGAGGUGGGCUCUGGAGCCAGGUCUGCCUGGGUUCCAGUCCGUGCUCUGACACUUCCUGACUGUGUAACUAUCAUCUGGCAAGUCACCUCCUCUGUGUCUCAGUUUCUUCUCUGUAAAGUGGAGGUAAUAAUAAGAGCACCUCCCUCCCCGCAGGCGGUGAUGAAGGAAGUGCUUGCUCAUCCU
rnacentral:lncRNA from 1 species